GGUUAAGCGACUAAGCGUACACGGUGGAUGCCCUGGCAGUCAGAGGCGAUGAAGGACGUGCUAAUCUGCGAUAAGCGUCGGUAAGGUGAUAUGAACCGUUAUAACCGGCGAUUUCCGAAUGGGGAAACCCAGUGUGUUUCGACACACUAUCAUUAACUGAAUCCAUAGGUUAAUGAGGCGAACCGGGGGAACUGAAACAUCUAAGUACCCCGAGGAAAAGAAAUCAACCGAGAUUCCCCCAGUAGCGGCGAGCGAACGGGGAGCAGCCCAGAGCCUGAAUCAGUGUGUGUGUUAGUGGAAGCGUCUGGAAAGGCGCGCGAUACAGGGUGACAGCCCCGUACACAAAAAUGCACAUACUGUGAGCUCGAUGAGUAGGGCGGGACACGUGGUAUCCUGUCUGAAUAUGGGGGGACCAUCCUCCAAGGCUAAAUACUCCUGACUGACCGAUAGUGAACCAGUACCGUGAGGGAAAGGCGAAAAGAACCCCGGCGAGGGGAGUGAAAAAGAACCUGAAACCGUGUACGUACAAGCAGUGGGAGCACGCUUAGGCGUGUGACUGCGUACCUUUUGUAUAAUGGGUCAGCGACUUAUAUUCUGUAGCAAGGUUAACCGAAUAGGGGAGCCGAAGGGAAACCGAGUCUUAACUGGGCGUUAAGUUGCAGGGUAUAGACCCGAAACCCGGUGAUCUAGCCAUGGGCAGGUUGAAGGUUGGGUAACACUAACUGGAGGACCGAACCGACUAAUGUUGAAAAAUUAGCGGAUGACUUGUGGCUGGGGGUGAAAGGCCAAUCAAACCGGGAGAUAGCUGGUUCUCCCCGAAAGCUAUUUAGGUAGCGCCUCGUGAAUUCAUCUCCGGGGGUAGAGCACUGUUUCGGCAAGGGGGUCAUCCCGACUUACCAACCCGAUGCAAACUGCGAAUACCGGAGAAUGUUAUCACGGGAGACACACGGCGGGUGCUAACGUCCGUCGUGAAGAGGGAAACAACCCAGACCGCCAGCUAAGGUCCCAAAGUCAUGGUUAAGUGGGAAACGAUGUGGGAAGGCCCAGACAGCCAGGAUGUUGGCUUAGAAGCAGCCAUCAUUUAAAGAAAGCGUAAUAGCUCACUGGUCGAGUCGGCCUGCGCGGAAGAUGUAACGGGGCUAAACCAUGCACCGAAGCUGCGGCAGCGACGCUUAUGCGUUGUUGGGUAGGGGAGCGUUCUGUAAGCCUGCGAAGGUGUGCUGUGAGGCAUGCUGGAGGUAUCAGAAGUGCGAAUGCUGACAUAAGUAACGAUAAAGCGGGUGAAAAGCCCGCUCGCCGGAAGACCAAGGGUUCCUGUCCAACGUUAAUCGGGGCAGGGUGAGUCGACCCCUAAGGCGAGGCCGAAAGGCGUAGUCGAUGGGAAACAGGUUAAUAUUCCUGUACUUGGUGUUACUGCGAAGGGGGGACGGAGAAGGCUAUGUUGGCCGGGCGACGGUUGUCCCGGUUUAAGCGUGUAGGCUGGUUUUCCAGGCAAAUCCGGAAAAUCAAGGCUGAGGCGUGAUGACGAGGCACUACGGUGCUGAAGCAACAAAUGCCCUGCUUCCAGGAAAAGCCUCUAAGCAUCAGGUAACAUCAAAUCGUACCCCAAACCGACACAGGUGGUCAGGUAGAGAAUACCAAGGCGCUUGAGAGAACUCGGGUGAAGGAACUAGGCAAAAUGGUGCCGUAACUUCGGGAGAAGGCACGCUGAUAUGUAGGUGAAGUCCCUCGCGGAUGGAGCUGAAAUCAGUCGAAGAUACCAGCUGGCUGCAACUGUUUAUUAAAAACACAGCACUGUGCAAACACGAAAGUGGACGUAUACGGUGUGACGCCUGCCCGGUGCCGGAAGGUUAAUUGAUGGGGUUAGCCGCAAGGCGAAGCUCUUGAUCGAAGCCCCGGUAAACGGCGGCCGUAACUAUAACGGUCCUAAGGUAGCGAAAUUCCUUGUCGGGUAAGUUCCGACCUGCACGAAUGGCGUAAUGAUGGCCAGGCUGUCUCCACCCGAGACUCAGUGAAAUUGAACUCGCUGUGAAGAUGCAGUGUACCCGCGGCAAGACGGAAAGACCCCGUGAACCUUUACUAUAGCUUGACACUGAACAUUGAGCCUUGAUGUGUAGGAUAGGUGGGAGGCUUAGAAGUGUGGACGCCAGUCUGCAUGGAGCCGACCUUGAAAUACCACCCUUUAAUGUUUGAUGUUCUAACGUUGACCCGUAAUCCGGGUUGCGGACAGUGUCUGGUGGGUAGUUUGACUGGGGCGGUCUCCUCCUAAAGAGUAACGGAGGAGCACGAAGGUUGGCUAAUCCUGGUCGGACAUCAGGAGGUUAGUGCAAUGGCAUAAGCCAGCUUGACUGCGAGCGUGACGGCGCGAGCAGGUGCGAAAGCAGGUCAUAGUGAUCCGGUGGUUCUGAAUGGAAGGGCCAUCGCUCAACGGAUAAAAGGUACUCCGGGGAUAACAGGCUGAUACCGCCCAAGAGUUCAUAUCGACGGCGGUGUUUGGCACCUCGAUGUCGGCUCAUCACAUCCUGGGGCUGAAGUAGGUCCCAAGGGUAUGGCUGUUCGCCAUUUAAAGUGGUACGCGAGCUGGGUUUAGAACGUCGUGAGACAGUUCGGUCCCUAUCUGCCGUGGGCGCUGGAGAACUGAGGGGGGCUGCUCCUAGUACGAGAGGACCGGAGUGGACGCAUCACUGGUGUUCGGGUUGUCAUGCCAAUGGCACUGCCCGGUAGCUAAAUGCGGAAGAGAUAAGUGCUGAAAGCAUCUAAGCACGAAACUUGCCCCGAGAUGAGUUCUCCCUGACCCUUUAAGGGUCCUGAAGGAACGUUGAAGACGACGACGUUGAUAGGCCGGGUGUGUAAGCGCAGCGAUGCGUUGAGCUAACCGGUACUAAUGAACCGUGAGGCUUAACCUU
rnacentral:rRNA from 1 species